GGUUAAACUGAAAAGAAGAAAGAUGGGUCAGGUGGAGAGCAGUGGAGGCCACUGCAGUUAUUUGUCUCGGGGCGCUUGAUAACGAUGAGGUCAACAUAGAAUGAAUGGAAUAGGAAAUUCUUUAGUGGCCAUUUCAGUUACUAUGCCUAAAAAAAUGCAUAAAAUUCCUUUUAAUUACAUAGUAUUUUCAUAUAAAUUUGACCUUCAUUCCUGUGAGCUAAAUUUUAUCCCCAUUUUAGAGAUGAGACAAAUGUGUGAAUUUAAGUCCUACUACUGUUAAGUAUGGAACUACAACCAAAACCAAUUCUUACUCCAAUUCUUUUCUCCAAAACUCAGGGCCAACUUGAACUGAUGGUUUUCCAUAUAGUGAUUUUUUCUAAGGGAAGCAAAGUGACUCCAAGACCCCAGCACCCAGGAAAGACACUAGGGGGGGCUCACAGCCAUGGCGUAGCCGGUCAGCAGGAUCACAAUGACCAGCAGGAAGCCCACCACCUCGUCCCAGGCUUUGCCGGCGACCCUAAACAGACGGCACAGUCACUGCUGCUUUCCUGAAGGGCUCGCUGCGUCUCUCCCUACUGAAAUGGCAUGAACACGGGCAAAGUGCGCUCAGCUGGGGCUUCGAUCUGGCCUGGGCACAGUGGGUUAGAGCCUCAGCUCAGAGCUGCUGCUUACCAAAACUUGGCUUUCUCCAAUACAGCUUUCACUGCGUACAUUUUUCUCAUUGCUUAAACUUAAUUAAAAAAAGUUUCUGAAUUAGUUAUCAAGCCUGAAAAUAAAACACUGUGUUUGGCUUAAAAUAUGU